UACGGGGGGUGCAAGCGUUGUUCGGAAUUAUUGGGCGUAAAGAGCGUGUAGGCGGCGUGAUAAGUCAGAUGUGAAAGCCCUGGGCUCAACCCAGGAAGUGCAUUUGAAACUGUCUUGCUUGAGUACGGGAGAGGGAAGAGGAAUUCCUGGUGUAGAGGUGAAAUUCGUAGAUAUCAGGAGGAACACCGGUGGCGAAGGCGACUUCCUGGCCCGAUACUGACGCUGAGACGCGAGAGCGUGGGGAGCAAACAGGAUUAGAUACCCUGGUAGUCCACGCCGUAAACGAUGUUCACUAGGUGUUGGGGGUAUUGACCCCCUCAGUGCCGGAGCUAACGCAUUAAGUGAACCGCCUGGGGAGUACGGUCGCAAGACUAAA
rnacentral:rRNA from 2 species